AGAGUUUGAUCAUGGCUCAGGACGAACGCUGGCGGCGCGCUUAACACAUGCAAGUCGUACGGGCAGCUUCGGCUGUCAGUGGCGAACGGGUGCGUAACACGUGGGCGACCUGCCGGGGCGCGGGGGACAACCCAGGGAAACUUGGGCUAAUACCGCAUGUGCUCUACGGGCUUCAUGGCCUGUGGAGGAAACCUGCUUCACAGCAGGGUGCUCCGAGGGGCCCGCGGCGUAUCAGGUAGUUGGUGAGGUAACGGCUCACCAAGCCGACGACGCGUAGCUGGUCUGAGAGGACGACCGGCCACAUUGGGACUGAGAUACGGCCCAGACUCCUACGGGAGGCAGCAGUGGGGAAUCUUGCGCAAUGGACGAAAGUCUGACGCAGCGACGCCGCGUGCGGGAGGAAGCCCUUCGGGGUGUAAACCGCUGUCACCGGGGAAGAACGGCGGGGAGAGGAAAUGCUCUCUGAUUGACGGUACCCGGGGAGGAAGCACCGGCUAACUCUGUGCCAGCAGCCGCGGUAAUACAGAGGGUGCGAGCGUUGUUCGGAAUUACUGGGCGUAAAAGCGCGCGCAGGCGGCCGUUUAAGUCUCACCGUUCAAGCCCGGAGCUCAACUCCGGUCCGCGGGGGAUACUGGACGGCUAGGGACAUGUAGGGGCGAGCGGAAUUCCGGGUGUAGCGGUGGAAUGCGUAGAGAUCCGGAAGAACACCGGGGGCGAAGGCGGCUCGCUGGGCAUGGUCCGACGCUGAGGCGCGAAAGCGUGGGGAGCGAACAGGAUUAGAUACCCUGGUAGUCC
rnacentral:rRNA from 1 species